UGCACAACCCUUUGCCCGUCUGCUGAAGGUGCCGAAGGUCCAUCCGAUCAGAGGUCAAGCUAAAGGAGCCCGAGAUAGCCAGUCUGAGGCAGUACAUCAACACAAGCCUCCAUGUCUGGGUUGUCUUGCAGCGGCCGUCUGUCCACUUCACAGGGCGAUCUUGGGAGCAGCUGAAGAGAGAGGAGCCUUCUAGGUAUCCCGGAAGGUGACAGCCACAGUGUUGGACUCCGGUCAGGGCCUCGGUGAUGUUGACUUCGAGUACUCUCAUGACAACAGGAACCUCUGAGCCAGCCCAGGUGCCCCUCCUGUGCAUUGAAGAUGGAUUCACAGCCCCGGGUCUCGGAAAGAUAAGUGCAGGGCAAAGACCCAGAGAGGGGUUGGGAGUCGGGGCAAGUAUGUGCAUUGCCCGGAGGGAUUUUUGCAAUUAGUAUGGUGCAAUGGGUGUCCUGUAGCAGGUUAUUUAGAGACCUCAAAGGAAGGGCUUACUUUGUAUCAUUGGAUUCCCGUGUGCAGGGCAGAGCAGUUCCGGUCUGUGUCACGUCCUUUGUCUCCUCCAUGUUUGUGUCCUUCGUCUCUUAAUUGUGUCACAUGGUGUGUGUCAUCACAGGUAUGGGGUGUCUCACUUGGGGUCAGCCUGGAACUGCUCUGCCCUGCUACGUGGAUCAGUGGGUAGA